UAACAUUGAAUGAUAGCCACCGAGCUCAUUAUUUAAUCCAUUGAAGGUUUUCUACGAAAAAAUAUUUUAAUGUCACGCAGUGAAGCAGUAAUGUAGAACCAAUCAACCUCGGUGCCUAUCAUUCAAUGUUGGACACUGAGUUAGCGAAUUGCCUAGCUGCACAUUUUGUUUAAAAUCUCAAUCA